AUGUCUCUACUGAAACCUUUGAACAAAAUUUGGACCCAGCCAGAGUGGAAUGAAGAAUACAUGCGUUAUACAUAUCGUCUAACUGGUCUUCUUUGCAGUGAUCAAUUUAUGGAGACAAUAUGUUUGUUGGUAAAGUCAUUUGAGGAGGAGAUCAAAGGAAGAAAAAUUGAACAUUCUACGGGAACACAGGAAAAAUGCCGUCCAACAUCAACUACCAAUUAUCCGUACUCAUCUACCUUUCCACAACUAAUGCUUGCCCUGCUCUUACGGAUCCUUCAUUUUAUACACAUGGCUUGGAUGGAUCGGUCUGAGUGUUAUGAUCUGCCAGAAAUUAUUUGGAGAGCUAGGCUCAUUAGUACCAACGAGAUAUCCAGUUUUCUGAAGGAGAAUAAUACUUUACCUGCCAAUGAUGGAGUCGAUGUUCGUAGGAUGAAUGCUAUUGGAACAUGGUUACGUGAAAUUCGAGAAACUGGGUAUAAUAUCAUAGGCUUGUGCGCGUCUGUUGAAAGAUCAAUGUUUGGAUUGGACUGUUCUCUUUUCAUCGAUACUCUUGCAAUGGAUAUAAGCUUCAUGGAUUUUGAUCAUGUGGGGAAACUCAUACAGCUCACCUUCAUUCCAUUAGUCAGUUGUUGCCCUCGAGGAUGUUGGGACAAAUGGGUGGUGUUGUUGUUGGAACCUUUAUUUUUCUACUGUGACGAUACCUUUGGUUAUGCGUGGCUCAGUCUUAUACAUGAGGGACGAGCUGAAGUACCAGCUUACUUUGGCAAUCUCUAUGGACCGGAAGAAAAAGUCAAGAAAUUAGAAGUGGAGCUGUUGCUUAAAUUCACUCGUUCUGUAUCUUGUUUGCUCGGGGUUUUAGCAUCAGAAGAACUUAAUAGUGGCCUUCCGCAGUUGAAUUGCCCAAAGUCUGACUUGAAAUCCAUAUCUUCCAGCUCCCUUUUAGGGUAUAUUUUACUUCACAAUUGCUUUUGGAGGUUUAGUAUGUACUUGUUCGGGUAUUUGGUGGAUUAUCAAGCAGCUAAGGAAGCACUACCCUUUUGUCAUGCAUUGAUCCGCCUUGCCGUUGCUACUGAUGACGAGAGACUGAAACAGUUUAUUCUUGAUGAAAUGCUUCCGACUCUUGUCCGGUUUGAUGAUAGGAGUCCUCAAAGUGGAAUCUCACGGUUAAGAUCGGAGUUAAGUUCAAGCAUAGAAAUGACUUCUAUGGAUGAUGUUGUUUGUCUUUGUCGGGAAAUAUAUGAAGUUUACUUGCACAAUUAGAUUACAAUUAUGAAGGGGGAACAGGAGGACAGAAAGAUGUGUACGGAUGGAUUCAGUGAUUGGUUCGAAAAGGAAUUGGAGGAUCUUCAUAGAGCGUCUUUGCCUGCUCCAAUUUUUUUUCCAAAGUACCUUGUGUGGAAUUGGCAGUUUAAUGAAGAAUGUGACAGAUAUUUCCCUACCUAUUUGGAAAUGCUGCAUGAAGUGGAUACAAUGAAUGACUGUCUAGCGGAAAAGCUGCUAAAAAUUGAUAAUCUUCUUGAGAGAUUGAAGCCAGAGUUUAAGGCGAGGUAUGCCAUUAACAGCUUGCAGCAUCCUUAUUUGCGAAGCAUGUCUCGUAUGCUACAGAGAAAGGAGCUUGGUGUAUGGAAAUGUUAUCAGAGACGUUCUGAUGAGAUCUACAAGUUUUUGGUCCAACUUAUCGAGCUGAAACCUUACAUUAAGCGAACUGAUUGUUGGGAUGAUGUUAUGGACCGUCUUGGGAAAAACUGUAAUGUAGAAAACCUUUGGCCAAGUGAGGCACCAAGGGCAAUUGAUAUUUUCCUUGAUUCGUUGCUGUUUUUCUGGGAGCCUCAGUUUCAUCCUUUGAUACGUGAGCGCCACAAAGAGCUACUGCUAACAGAUGCCCGUGAGUUAGCUAAAGGGAAUUCAACUUUUGAGGUUUGUGCAUUCAUUUUCCAUUUUGGGGGCAUGGCCAGAACUUUACUAAUCUAG
rnacentral:rRNA from 1 species